rnacentral:lncRNA from 1 species
UAUACCAUAUACAAAAACUAACUCUAAAAAAAAAAAAAAAAAAAAAAAAAAAAAAAAAAACUAACUCUAAGGGAAUAAAGACUUGAGUGUAAGACCUGAGACUGUAAAACUUCUAGAAGAAAACACAGGCAGUAAACUUCUUGACAUAGGUCUUGGCGAUGAUUUUUUCAAAUCUGACACCAAAAUCAAAAGCAACAAAAGCAAAAAUAAAGAAGUGAGAAACGUCAAACUACAAAGUUUUUGCACAGAAAAGAAAACCUUAACAAAAUGAACAAGCAACCUACCGAAUAGGACAAAAUAGUUUACAAAUCAUAUAUCUGAUAAAGGGCCAUUACCCAAAGUGCAUAGAGAACUUCUACAACUCAAUGGCAUAAAAACGAACAAUCUGAUUGAAAAUGGGCAGAAGAUCUGAGUAAACAUUUUUCCAAAGAAGAUAUACAGAUGGCCAUCGGGUACAUGAAGAGGUGCCCAACAUCAUUAAUCACAGGGAGACUCAAAUCAAAGCCACAAAUCAAAACUAUAAACCACAACAGCCUCAGACCUGUUAGAACGUCUUUUUUUUUUUUUUUAAUCAAAAAGAAGGAAUAACAGGUAAUGGUGAGGAUGUGGGGAAAAGGGACCCCUGGCGCACCGCUGCUUGGAGUGUCAACUGGUGCAGCUCCGUGGAACAGUAUGAAGAGUCCUCAAAAAAUUAAAAAUCAGACUACCACGUGAUCCAGCAAUUCCACUUCUGGGUAUUUCCCUGAAGAAAGUGGGCACAGCAAUUCAAAAUCCUAUAUGAUCCCCAUGUUCACUGCAGCAUGACUUACGGUAGCCGAGACGGGUAAGCAAGCCAAGAACCCAUCCACAGGUGAGUGGACAGGGAAGACGCGGGAGACGGACGUACAUACCAGGACGUUGCUCAGCCACGAAAAAGAGUGAGAUCUUGCCAUUUGUGACAACAAUGGAUCUUAGGAGCAUUAUGCCAAGUGAAAUAAGUCAGAGGAAGCCAGACGCAGCACGAUCUCUCUUCUAUGCAGGAUCUUUAAAAAAAAAAUCAAGUUCAUAGAUACAAAGAACAGAUGAUGGUGGCAAGAGGCAGUGGUGGGGGCGCAAGAAAUGGGUGAUUCGUUGGGGUUUUUUUCUUAGUCUAAAUAUACUGAAUAAAAAAUUCUUUAAAGCCAGUUUGUAGGGCAGCGGGCGGGGGCGGGGGGGCCUCAGCGGUUUAGCGCCGCCUUCAGCCCAGGGCGUGAUCCUGGAGACGCGGGAUCGAGUCCCACCUCGGGCUCCCUGCAUGGAGCCUGCUUCUCCCUCUCCCUGGGUCUCUGCCCCCGCCCCUCUCUCUAUGUCUCUCAUGAAUAAAUAAAUAAAAUCUUUAACAAAUAAUAAUAAUAAAAUAAAUAAACAAA